GACGAACGCUGGCGGCGUGCCUAACACAUGCAAGUCGAACGGGGUUGCCUUUCGGGGUAACUUAGUGGCGAACGGGUGAGUAACGCGUGAGAAACCUGCCUCUCAGUGGGGGACAACAGUUGGAAACGACUGCUAAUACCGCAUGACACUUUAGUACCGCAUGGUACAGAAGUCAAAGCUUUAUGUGCUGAGAGAUGGUCUCGCGUCUGAUUAGCUAGUUGGCGGGGUAACGGCCCACCAAGGCGACGAUCAGUAGCCGGUCUGAGAGGAUGAACGGCCACAUUGGGACUGAGAUACGGCCCAGACUCCUACGGGAGGCAGCAGUGGGGAAUAUUGGGCAAUGGGGGAAACCCUGACCCAGCAACGCCGCGUGAAGGAAGAAGGCCUUCGGGUUGUAAACUUCUUUUACCAGGGACGAAGAACGUGACGGUACCUGGAGAAAAAGCCACGGCUAACUACGUGCCAGCCGCCGCUGUAACAC
rnacentral:rRNA from 1 species